CCUUACGGCCACACCAGUGUGAAUGUGCCCGAUCUCGUAUGAUCUCGGAAACUAUGCACACUUGGGCUCGAUCAGUACUUGGAUGGGAGACCACCUAGGAACUCCUAGUGCUGACAGCU
rnacentral:rRNA from 1 species